CCCUUAGAUGUUCUGGGCCGCACGCGCGCUACACUGAUGAAUUCAACGAGUUUAUAACCUUGGUUGAGAAGCCUGGGUAAUCUUUUGAACGUUCAUCGUGAUGGGGAUAGAUUAUUGCAAUUAUUAAUCUUCAACGAGGAAUUCCUAGUAAACGCAAGUCAUCAGCUUGCAUUGAUUACGUCCCUGCCCUUUGUACACACCGCCCGUCGCACCUACCGAUUGAAUGGUCCGGUGAAAUCUUGGGAUUUUGUUUUGUUUGCAUUUAUUUGUAUCGAGACGAGAGAACUUGAGUAAACCUUACCAUUUAGAGGAAGGUGAAGUCGUAACA
rnacentral:rRNA from 1 species